AUUGAACGCUGGCGGGAUGCUUUACACAUGCAAGUCGAACGGAGCGGCGGACGGGUGAGUAAUGUAUCGGAACGUGCCUAGUAGAGGGGGAUAACUACUCGAAAGAGUGGCUAAUACCGCAUACCAUUAGAUCGGCCGAGAUGGGAUUAGCUAGUUGGUGGGGUAAAGGCUCACCAAGGCAACGAUCCCUAGCUGGUCUGAGAGGACGACCAGCCACACUGGGACUGAGACACGGCCCAGACUCCUACGGGAGGCAGCAGUGGGGAAUUUUGUACAAUGGGGGCAACCCUGAUCCAGCCAUCCCGCGUGUAUGAUGAAGGCCUUCGGGUUGUAAAGUACUUUUGGCAGGGAAGCGGUAUCUGCAGAAUAAGCACCGGCUAACUACGUGCCAGCAGCCGCGGUAAUAC
rnacentral:rRNA from 1 species